CAUGUACUCCCUCCGUCCGGAAAUACUUGUCGGAGAAAUGCAUAAAAAUGGAUGUAUUUAGAACUAAAAUACAUCUAGAUACAUCCAUUCCUCCGACAAGUAUUUUCGGACGGAGGGAGUAACUU
rnacentral:pre_miRNA from 1 species